rnacentral:rRNA from 1 species
UACGUAGGGUGCAAGCGUUGUCCGGAAUUAUUGGGCGUAAAGAGCGCGCAGGCGGUCGAUCAAGUCGAGUGUGAAAGCCCCCCGGCUCAACUGGGGAGGGUCAUUCGAUACUGAUCGACUCGAAGGCAGGAGAGGGUAGUGGAAUUCCCGGUGUAGUGGUGAAAUGCGUAGAUAUCGGGAGGAACACCAGUGGCGAAGGCGACUACCUGGCCUGUUCUUGACGCUGAGGCGCGAAAAGCUAGGGGAGCAAACGGG